UAGGGAAUCUUCCGCAAUGGACGAAAGUCUGACGGAGCAACGCCGCGUGAGCGAAGAAGGCCUUGGUCGUAAAGCUCUGUUGUUAGGGAAGAACAAGUACGAGAGUAACUGCUCGUACCUUGACGGUACCUAACCAGAAAGCCACGGCUAACUACGUGCCAGCAGCCGCGGUAAUACGUAGGUGGCAAGCGUUGUCCGGAAUUAUUGGGCGUAAAGCGCGCGCAGGCGGUCCUUUAAGUCUGAUGUGAAAGCCCACGGCUCAACCGUGGAGGGUCAUUGGAAACUGGGGGACGUUGAGUGCAGAAGAGGAGAGUGGAAUUCCACGUGUAGCGGUGAAAUGCGUAGAGAUGUGGAGGAACACCAGUGGCGAAGGCGACUCUCUGGUCUGUAACUGACGCUGAGGCGCGAAAGCGUGGGGAGCAAACAGGAUUAGAUACCCUGGUAGUCCACGCCGUAAACGAUGAGUGCUAAGUGUUAGAGGGUUUCCGCCCUUUAGUG
rnacentral:rRNA from 1 species